CAGAUACAAGAUUCCAGCUGUCUGAAGAGAGUCACAAAAAGAUUAAGCAAUGUAAUUUCAAGUUUUGGAAAAUAUUUUUUACAAAGACAUAUCGUUUAUGUGACUAUGUAAUGGGGCCCAAUUACAUGUACACGGUGACCAGCCUGCCCCUGAUGUCCAACUCUCCCUAUCUCCUUGUGGGUUUUUCUCCCAGAUGGGGUUCCCAGCAGAAGCUGCUCAUGAUUCUCUACCCCAGAGAAUACAAUCUAAGGCAGCAAAUGAAGUUCCUCUAUGGAAAAAGGUGUUAUGCUAUUAAAAGAGGGGUCCUGGA